rnacentral:rRNA from 1 species
GGGUUGUGAGGUUAAGCGACUAAGCGUACACGGUGGAUGCCCUGGCAGUCAGAGGCGAUGAAGGACGUGCUAAUCUGCGAUAAGCGUCGGUAAGGUGAUAUGAACCGUUAUAACCGGCGAUUUCCGAAUGGGGAAACCCAGUGUGAUUCGUCACACUAUCAUUAACUGAAUUCAUAGGUUAAUGAGGCGAACCGGGGGAACUGAAACAUCUAAGUACCCCGAGGAAAAGAAAUCAACCGAGAUUCCCCCAGUAGCGGCGAGCGAACGGGGAGGAGCCCAGAGCCUGAAUCAGUGUGUGUGUUAGUGGAAGCGUCUGGAAAGGCGCGCGAUACAGGGUGACAGCCCCGUACACAAAAAUGCACAUGCUGUGAGCUCGAUGAGUAGGGCGGGACACGUGGUAUCCUGUCUGAAUAUGGGGGGACCAUCCUCCAAGGCUAAAUACUCCUGACUGACCGAUAGUGAACCAGUACCGUGAGGGAAAGGCGAAAAGAACCCCGGCGAGGGGAGUGAAAAAGAACCUGAAACCGUGUACGUACAAGCAGUGGGAGCCUCUUUAUGGGGUGACUGCGUACCUUUUGUAUAAUGGGUCAGCGACUUAUAUUCUGUAGCAAGGUUAACCGAAUAGGGGAGCCGAAGGGAAACCGAGUCUUAACUGGGCGUUAAGUUGCAGGGUAUAGACCCGAAACCCGGUGAUCUAGCCAUGGGCAGGUUGAAGGUUGGGUAACACUAACUGGAGGACCGAACCGACUAAUGUUGAAAAAUUAGCGGAUGACUUGUGGCUGGGGGUGAAAGGCCAAUCAAACCGGGAGAUAGCUGGUUCUCCCCGAAAGCUAUUUAGGUAGCGCCUCGUGAAUUCAUCUCCGGGGGUAGAGCACUGUUUCGGCAAGGGGGUCAUCCCGACUUACCAACCCGAUGCAAACUGCGAAUACCGGAGAAUGUUAUCACGGGAGACACACGGCGGGUGCUAACGUCCGUCGUGAAGAGGGAAACAACCCAGACCGCCAGCUAAGGUCCCAAAGUCAUGGUUAAGUGGGAAACGAUGUGGGAAGGCCCAGACAGCCAGGAUGUUGGCUUAGAAGCAGCCAUCAUUUAAAGAAAGCGUAAUAGCUCACUGGUCGAGUCGGCCUGCGCGGAAGAUGUAACGGGGCUAAACCAUGCACCGAAGCUGCGGCAGCGACGCUUAUGCGUUGUUGGGUAGGGGAGCGUUCUGUAAGCCUGCGAAGGUG